rnacentral:rRNA from 1 species
CAGUCGCCGCGGAAUACAGAGGGUGCAAGCGUUAAUCGGAAUUACUGGGCGUAAAGCGCGCGUAGGUGGUUUGUUAAGUUGGAUGUGAAAGCCCCGGGCUCAACCUGGGAACUGCAUCCAAAACUGGCAAGCUAGAGUACGGUAGAGGGUGGUGGAAUUUCCUGUGUAGCGGUGAAAUGCGUAGAUAUAGGAAGGAACACCAGUGGCGAAGGCGACCACCUGGACUGAUACUGACACUGAGGUGCGAAAGCGUGGGGAGCAAACAGGAUUAGAUACCCCCGUAGUCCCUGUCUCUUAUACA